rnacentral:rRNA from 1 species
AUGGAGUCCGCCUUUCCAACAGCUGCGCGGCUCGGGCUCCAUGUCCUGCUCUACUCAUCGCUGCUCCUCAACGCCCUCUUCGUCGCGCACCACUUCCUCUCCGCCCCGCCAGCGCCGUCCCCGCUUCUCAGCGAGGCCAACAACGGCGGUGCGCUGAGCUGGGCGCUAAGGGCGGCCAGGGAGGCCGAGUCCGUGGCGGCGGCGGGAUGCUCCGGCCACGGCCGCGUGUUCCUGGAUGGCAUCGUCGGCGAGGACGGGCGGCCCGGGUGCGAGUGCAACACCUGCUUCGAAGGGCCAGACUGCUCCGUCCGGACGCCCGACUGCACCGUCGACGCCGACAGUGGGGACCCGAUGUUCCUGGAGCCGUACUGGAUGCGGCACGCGGAGGCCAGCGCCGUGGUGGUCUCCGGGUGGCACCGCAUGAGCUACAGAGCCACCGACGGUCUCUUCCAGUCCGUCGAGCUCGAGCGCUGCAUCAGGCGGCUGCACAGGGCCGUCGGUAACGCCGUCGCCGACGACAAGCAAAUCGUCUUCGCCACCGGCUCCAUGCAGCUGAUCAACGCGCUGGUGUACGCCCUGUCCCCGGACAGCAACUCCGGCUCCACGGCCAGCGUGGUCGCCACCACGCCGUACUACCCGGCUUACAGAACACAGAUCGUGUUGUUCGACAGCCGGGAGUACAAAUGGGCCGGGAACACCUCCAUGUGGGCCAAAGCGUCGGGGAACUCCACCACCAAGGAGGACGUCAUCGAGUUCGUGACGUCGCCGAACAACCCCGACGCCCUGCUCAACCAGCCCGUCGUCGGCGGCUCGUCGGCGAUCCUCGACCACGCCUACUUCUGGCCGCACUUCACGCAUAUCCCCGCGCCCUCCGACGCGGACGUCAUGCUCUUCACCACCUCCAAGCUCUCCGGCCAUGCCAGCAGUCGAUUCGGGUGGGCGCUGAUAAGGGACGAGAAGGUGGCCAAGCGGGUCAAUGACUACAUGAUGCAGAACACCAUGGGCGCGUCCCGCGACACCCAGCUCCGGAUGCUCAGCAUCUUCAAGGCCAUACUGGCCAACCUGCACGGCAAGGAGGACAUCUUCGCCUUCGGGCACGACGUCAUGAGAGCCAAAUGGCGCAAGCUCAGCGCCGUCGUGUCGCGCUCCCGCCGGAUCUCGCUGCAGAACAUCCCUCCGCAGUACUGCACCUACUUCGACAAGAUCAGGGAGCCAUCCCCAGCUUAUGCGUGGGUCAAGUGUGAGAGGGAGGAAGACAGUGACUGCUCCGACGUGCUGCUCAAGGCCAAGAUAAUCACACGGUCCGGCGUCUGGAACGACGCCAGCAGCCGGUACACGAGGAUAAGCCUCAUCAAGUCCCAGGACGACUUCGACCUGCUCCUCGAGAGGAUCACAGAAUUUGUCGAUGCCGAGCUCACCGCUGAUGGUUCCAACUCCAUGUGA